rnacentral:lncRNA from 1 species
GAUGAAGAGUCCUAAUGCUCGUGGACUAUGAGUCCUACGUGUCUGGGACUCUGUGACCGAGAAUCAGGAUUCUCUGAUCAUGAGUCCCACACAUUUUGGGUACCGGGGUCAAGAGUCCCACUGGUUUGGGACUCUUCGAUCAGGGUUAUAUAUCGAUGAAUUCUGAUGCCCGAUUACCCAUCGGAUUUGGACUCAAUAUUUAUGA